rnacentral:lncRNA from 1 species
AUAGUCCGCUAUUCUGCAGUGAUUUUCUUCCAAUCCAGUAUCAUUUGUACGUUGCAGCAUCAUCGAACACUAUGACCCAUGAAUCAGAAGAUAACGUAGAUGCUACGAGAGAGCUCAUUUCACAAUGGACAACAGAAGUGUUACGUGACUUUCUACAAGGAGGGGACUCAAGCUUGGAAAUCGAGUACUGGUAGUCAUUAUUUUAUGGGUGUUCUCUGCCUUGACUCUGGGGGUACUGUUCAGCCAUCCGAGGUAGAGAUAAACUGGACGAUGGAUGGAGAGGGGGCGGGGGGGGGGGGGGGGGGGGGGGGGGGGGGGGGGAGAAAGGCAUGCAGACUGCAGAGCUGGUCGUCUACUAUGUAUAGAGACAUUUGUGUGUACCUAGUAGAUAAGGACCCUCCAUCACUAGAGGGAAGAAUGAGAGACUACAAAGAGGGAAAGGCAUUUAGUUAUUUUGCCAGUUUCUGGUUAGGGAGAUAUUUUUUUCAUCUCGUGGGAGAAAGCUGUCUGUAAUUCAAAAUCAUUUGAUACUUGAAUAAAUUUAGUUCAUUUUCUAGACUGUUUCAUGUCAAA